rnacentral:misc_RNA from 1 species
GAUGAAGAACGUAGCGAAAUGCGAUACGUAAUGUGAAUUGCAGAAUUCAGUGAAUCAUCGAAUCUUUGAACGCAUAUUGCGCUCUUUGGUAUUCCGAAGAGCAUGCUUGUUUGAGUAUCAGUAAACACCUCAAAGCUUUUGGAUUUUUUAAUCGAAAAGCUUUGGACUUGAGCAAUCCCAACACCAAUCUUUUUGAGAUCGGUGGCGGGUUGCUUGAAAUGCAGGUGCGGCUGGACAUUCUCCUGAGCUAAAAGCAUAUUCAUUUAGUCCCGUCAAACGGAUUAUUACUUUUGCUGCAGCUAACAUAAAGGGAGUUUGACCGUAUUGGCUGACUGAUGCAGGAUUUCACAAGGGUCGGCAACGAUUCUUGUUAAACUCGAUCUCAAAUCAAGUAAGACUACCCGCUGAACUUAAGCAUAUCAAUAAGCGGAGGA